rnacentral:tRNA from 1 species
ACCUUGGAGGACUAGUGGUUAGGCCUCAGUGCAGUCAACACUGUGGCCUGGGUUUGAUUCAUGGCCAGGGAA